AAAAAAAAAAAAAAAAAAAAGGCCAGCCUCGUACGCCCACUGGCCGCAGUCCCACCUCAUUCGCCUGAAUUUCUCCCAUUUCACCUCUUUCCCUCUGUAAAAGAAAAAGAAAAAGAAAAUUGAGAAAACAAACAUAUCAUCAUUUUGGUCACGAAACACGAAACUAACAAAUCAACACACUAAACUAGGGUUCCCAUAUUCCCUCUUCUUUCUCCCUGUAUUUUCCUCACUUCUCCUAAUUUUAUGUUUUUCUCCCUAAAAAUCUUGUAACUUUCCAGGGAAAUAUUAUUUGGCCUCCUUUUACCAGUUUCAAUUCCGCAUAUCUUCCAAGUAUUCAAUUACGCUAUUGUUCUAACUUUGACUUAAUCCCAUUUCAAUCAUUUUUUUUACAGGAUUUCGUAUAUUUGAGGGGAAAAGGGAAGAUUUGUGCAUAUCUAUUUGAAAGAGGGAGGAAUUUCAGAAUAUUUUGCACAGCUGCGGUUUAUGGGUUUUGGUUUGUGAGUUUUUCAUUUUUCAAUCUAUGGGUUAUUCCUAAUUUAGGGUUUCAAGGAGUGUUUUGGAUUGUGUUACUCUAUGGAUUCUGAAAAUAUGACCCCGUCCACCAGCAUGGUCAAAUGUUGUGAUUGCGAGUGCAAUUGCUCCAUAACAAACACGUCCUUUUCGGGGAAUUGGAUACGGACUGUGAAGCGAAAAUAUGAUGAGAUUGAGAAGAAAUUUGUGAUCCCGGGUUUAAUUUUGCCGCAAACAGCUCGUAUAGAGAUGGGAAACGAGUGUAUUGCUUUAAGGGAAAUGGUUUCUGGCCAACAGGAGACCAUUCAGGAAUUGAGUGUUGAGUUGGAGGAAGAGAGGAAUGCCGCCUCCUCAGCUGCUAAUGAAGCCAUGUCCAUGAUUUUGAGGUUGCAAAGGGAAAAAGCUGAGUCACAAAUGGAAUUUAGGCAAUUGAAAAUGUUCACCGAGGAGAAAAUGGCUCAUGAUCAGCAGGAGAUAAUGGCAUUGGAAGAUUUUUUGUAUAAGAGGGAGCAAGUGAUUCAGUCGUUGACUUGUGAGGUGCAAAUGUAUAAGCACAGGAUGUUGAGUUAUGGCCUAUUGGAGUCUGAGGUUGAGGAUGAUGAUGAGAAAGAGAAUGGUCGCUUUAGCUGGAACAAUAGUGUAGGUGAGAGUUCCGAUGGCCGCUUUGACAUUCCUUCUUAUGAUUACCCUCCCUUGAAGUGCACUAUAAAUGAGAACCAAGUGCAUACUGAGGUUGAUAAUGAAUAUGUGGAUGUUGAGAAAUAUGCAUUUGGGGAGGCACCACGAUCAUGUGAACAUUUGCGAUAUCUGGAGAAGAGGAUCAAUCAGUUGGAAACAACACCAAGUAGUCAGACGGAUGGGGAAGUAUUUAACAACAAUGUCCUUGAAAAAGCAAUAGUUGCUCAGUCUCCUUUUAUACCAAGCAAAGAAAUAAGCUCAGAUUUCAUCUCAGGUUCUCCGAAGUUUGGUGGAAGUGUUAGAACGGCAGAAAAUUUGCAAACAGACGAGUAUGCAAACUUGAGGAAAGUGGACGAGUCAUCGGAAAUAGGGGCUGAAAUGAGUGACAGGGUUUAUACAAUUGACUUCAUACAUCAGGGUGCUGAAUAUAAUGGUAACUCAGAGACCAAAGCUUCUGUCCAUACCCCAAGAGAUUCGCUAAAUCAUACAAAUUUUGGAGAUCCUGAGGUCACAAAGCUUUACCUUAGGCUGCAGGCCCUUGAGGCUGAUCGGGAAUCAAUGAGGCAGGCUAUUAUUUCAAUGCGGACUGAUAAAGCACAGCUGAUAUUGCUUAAAGAAAUUGCUCAGCAGUUGUGCAAAGAAGCGUCUCCAGAAAGGAGGAUACCUGUGAGGAAGACAUCUGUAAUCAAGAGCUUCUCGUUCAUCUCCAUAUUCAAGGUACUUGUUUGGUUUGACAGCCAACAGGGUGGGCUUGCUAAUGCUUUUAGACAAGGGACCUCGUGUUGGACAAUGGAGAUGUCUUUCAAGUACUCAAGUGUGAAACCAAUCCUCAUUGGUCCACAUCGACUUCCGCAUCUCUUAUGCUCAUCGGCAUGAAUGCAGAGAGGAUUUUAGUCAGAUUAGUUGCUUUUGGAUGUUCAUUCAUUCGUUCUUGCCUUAUAUGCCUUGCUGCUGCGUAUUUGGGUGCUGGAUUACUUUGUGCGUUGUUCUUUUCACUUGAUUGUUGGAAUUGAAUACAUCUUGAUGAAACAUUCGGCAAAGAUUAUAGUUGUUCCUUAGCCAUCUAGAACUUGGAUCUUAUGGCUUGGUGGAAUUUCACUUUAGGUGUGCCAGAUGUUCCAGAUGCAAAAGGGAAGGAAAUUAUUUCAGUUUUAAUGAGCAUUACAUGUGUUAUUGGGACUGCUCCUAAGCAUGCCAAGCCAUUGAGGUUUGCUUUGGUUUAAAGAAGGUAUUAUAAAACCCAAUUUUGUCCAAAAACCAAGAAACUAUGCGGCAUGCGCAAUGGUUUCGUUCGUAUCAUUUUUUUGCUUUUUAAAUGAGUAGAGCAUGCGGGGUCUUAUGUUGAUACCAGUAGAAUAUAGGUGAAAACGUGUAAGAAAUCUGUUGUGGUAGCAAAGUCACGUAAUAAUCAAUCAUUAUAGGAACACUAGGCCUCCAA